rnacentral:lncRNA from 1 species
GAAGUAUCAAAAAACAUAAUCUACUUGCUAUUACAAGCAUUCCCAUUACAUGCAUUUUACAUCACAAUUUUUACAUAUUACAUUUAACUUCCAAAUACAAUUAAGAUUACUACAACUUAAUACAAGUUUGUUCUAUGACUUGUGAAACCCCCAAGCUAAGCUGACUCAGGGUACUGCUGUCUCAGGUCUCUGGGGUAGGGCGCUAUCUACGAAGCUACGUCCUUUCCUCGCG